GUGUACGCUAUUUGAACCGAGGGGAAUCUCCAUGGUGACAGAGUACCUCUUCAUUGUGCUUCCUUUCCAUCUGCAAGAGACUCUGCAUGGAUGUAGGCCUUUUCUCUUGGAUCUGGAGGCGGCGCUUGGUGUCCAAAAGUUCCAGCAAAGCUCGGGAUGUUUUGCUGUGCGGAGCCGCCCCACUGUGACACUUUGCAUACUGAUUUGAGCUUUACGGCUGACUUGAAGGGAGGAAAAAAAGAGGAAAGACCUGACUACUGUGAAUUGGGCUCUAAUGUGCUUGGCUCACUCUGUCAAGAAAUAAAAGCCACAGUGGUGAUAA